AUUGAACGCUGGCGGCAGGCUUAACACAUGCAAGUCGAGCGAGCAGCGGACGGGUGAGUAAUGGCUGGGAAACCGCCUGAUGGAGGGGGAUAACUACUGGAAACGGUAGCUAAUACCGCAUACCAUCAGAUGUGCCCAGAUGGGAUUAGCUAGUAGGUGGGGUACUGGCUCACCUAGGCGGCGAUCCCUAGCUGGUAUGAGAGGAUGACCAGCGACAAUGGAACGUAGACGGGGUCCAGAAGCCUACGGGAGGCAGCAGUGGGGAAUAUGGAACAAUGGGCGAAAGCCUGAUGCAGCAAUGUGGCGUGUGUGAAGAAGGCCUGCGGGUGGUAAAGCACGUUCAGCGAGGGGGCGUUAGUCGCAGAAGAAGCACCGGCUAACUCCGGGCCAGCAGCCGCGGUAAUAC
rnacentral:rRNA from 1 species